GCGCCAACAUAGUCCCACGAUAAACCAGAUUUGGAUGCCACAUCCCAUCAAUUUUUGUAAAGUUUUUAGCGUGUAAUAAGCUCCUUAAAAACCUCUUCUUUUCAUGUAAAAUCUGGGCGAAAAGGAUGAAGGUGGGCGGCAUUAAAAUUGGAAGUCCUAAGAGCUUUAGACUCUUAUCUCCUACUCAAACUAUAUCUCCUCUCUUCCCUAUUUAAACCCAGCACCUUUGGGAUGUUGGAUAGCUGAUGUGAUCAGUUUAUGGAUGCCACAAACCAGAGGAGAUGC
rnacentral:lncRNA from 1 species